CCGCACAGCGAGGAGCAUGUGGUUAAUCGAUGAUACGCGAGGAACCUUACCUGGGCUCGAACGUAAGAUGACUGUAGGUGAAAGCUUACAUCUCUUCGGAGCAUUUUACGAGGUGCUGCAUGGUUGUCGUCAGCUCGUGCCGUGAGGUGUCGGGUUAAGUCCCAUAACGAGCGCAACCCCUACCUUUAGUUGCCAUCAGGUUAAGCUGGGGACUCUAAAGGAACUGCCUACGCAAGUAGUGAGGAAGGCGGGGAUGACGUCAAAUCAGCACGGCCCUUACGUCCAGGGCUACACACGUGCUACAAUGGCCGAUACAGAGGGCAGCUACCUGGUGACAGGAUGCAAAUCUCCAAAGUCGGUCUCAGUUCGGAUCGGAGUCUGCAACCCGACUCCGUGAAGUUGGAUUCGCUAGUAAUCGCGCAUCAGCCAUGGCGCGGUGAAUACGUUCCCGGGCCUU
rnacentral:rRNA from 1 species